AGGAUAAGUAAGAAAGAUCUGGGAGGAGGGCUAGAGACCAGGAAAUAUGACCUCGUAGGAAAGCUGAGGAAGGCCAGAAUUCAUGGGCGCAGCAACAGACCGCCCGUGAGGUGUGCAGCCCUGCCUGUCCUCCACCUGGAGAGAGCAGCAGACCGGGUGCCCCUCCCUGAGAAGCCUCCUGGCGACAUGUCCCGUUGUUUGUGCUCCCAGAGCACCCCACACCUCCCCAUCUAGCCUAGGACUGGGCUUGCUCGUUCAGCUUGUCUGUCCACCAGACGGAGGGUUCCUGAGGGCCAGGACUGGAAUGUUCUCCACACCCAUGCACAGGCAUGUUUCUGCAUUCUCGUCCCGCAUGAGCCAGUGGCCACAGCCCAGCAGCCUUGGCAAAAGGAAGAGCCAACCCACUCCUCCCACGGCCCUGAGCUGAGCAGGUGGCCAGUGGGUGUGUGUCAGCAGCCCAUCAGUGCCCUUGUGUAUGUGAUGUCAAGAGGCUCUGGGUGUGACAAAGCACACGUGCGUCACCCUGGGCAUCAUGAUCUCCGAAGCGAUGAGAACAGCCAGCAUCAUCAGAGGCAAAUUGGACCUUGUCUGCCAAGCUCGGGGAAGGAGCAAGCCAGGACAGGAGGUGUGGGGAGGCCAUGGUGAGGGGGUGGGGUGCUCCCCAGGGCCCAGCAGCCUGUCCCUGGAUAUGAGCAGGCAGGGAGGCCGCACCUGGGUCUCCGACUGACGGAUGGGGAGGUUGCCGUGAUAGUGGGUCCAGUGUGGCUGAGAAUGUGCGGACGUGCUAAUGGGCCGUGAGAAGCAGGAUUCACCCUGGGAGAUUGCUUCUCAGCUGCCUGGUAAGCAGAGUGUCCUGGGAGCUGCUGGCUGCCACCCACAGCAGGCUCAUCACCCUCUCUGGCCUAAAACACCCCAAAAUGCUGACAUGGCUGCAGAGGCGGCACCAGGAACAUUAGACGGGGACUCAGGAGGCCUGGGUCCUUGGCUGCCAACUUGCUUAUCCUUCCAUUUGAAAAAUGGAGAUGAGGAGCCCCAGCCCCAUUUCCUCCUGGGCCAGCUGUGAGAAGUGUCUGCUACAUAGUGAUAAGAAGAGGUUCCUGAUACCCAAGACUGGUUACUGCCAACUUCCCCUAAAGGAACCCUCCCCUCCUUUAUGCCGGAGCCUCCCAGAGCCCACGGCAUUUGCCUGUGGGUGUCAGCAGACGGGGACACUGCUUACGGGGCUUCAGUCACCGAACCCCCUCUCCACUCUGCCCUCCUUGGGGGUCUGAUGAGCAGGAGUCCUGACAAUCUCUAGGGUCUUCCCUUCAUUGGCUGCUUCCUCAAACACACCCAGGUCUCCCACAUUCUGCAACAAUAAACAACCUUCUUUCUCCCAAACUUAAAAAAUUGAAGAAAAAGCAAGAGUGUUUCUCUCGACCCAGCAACCUGGGCCACUUCCUUCCUCCCUUUGUUGCUGCCAAACUUCCAGAACAAGUGUCUGACAUCCACCGCCUCCUCUUCCCACCUCCCACACUCCAUGAACCCACCACAAUCUGGUUCCCACCUCCGGGCUCCCUGGAAGAAAAGUUGUGCCAGGCCCGUCCCCCCAGCCCCCUGCCAGCCCCGGCAUCCCCCACUAGGUCUGAUUGAUCUGCCUUGAUUGCCCCACUGACCACCCAGCUUUGAGACCUAGCUUCCCUCUUCUUUCUGCCACACUGUCCCCGGACCGCCCCCGCCACUUGCUGACAGUGCUUUCACUUCUUCAUCCCUCCUCCCCACAGCAUUGCUGCUCCCUGCUCGCUCUCCACCCAUUCUUACCUCUUCCCCCUCCAUCCCUUCUACCCAGGACCAUUAGCUGGGAUUUCUGGGGAGGCUCUGGGUGUUCAUGAACACACCUAAAACGUUAACAAAUUUAUUCUAUGUCUGUGCAUUGUUCUGGGCAGAGGAUGUAUAUUUUUCAUUAGCUUGACAGAGGAUUCUCUGACACCCGCCCCCCCAAAAAUGAUGAAAGCCACUGACUAUCACCCAAGGUUGAAAUCUGCUUCUAUACCACCCCUCCUCUCUUCAAAAUGCUAGUCCCAAAUUUCUAGCUACUCACCAUCUUGCCUGGAUGCUAUGUGAUAGGCACCUCUUAAUCAAAGUCCACUCUCCUCCCCCCACAUCUCCCCACUCUGGGUUAAUAUACCUAAGCAUUCUACCUCUCUGAGACAAGCUGGGGUGAUUUCAGAAAGUUCCUGCUCGGGACUUCCCUGGUGGUCCGGUAGUAGGAUUCUGUGCUCCUAAUGCAGGGGGCACAGGUCCAAUCCCUAGCUGUGGAACUAAGAUCCCAAAUGCCACAUGGUGCAUCACGUGGCCAAAAAAAAAAAAAAAAAAAGGAACGUUCCUGCUCAAAUGUAUACAGACCUGUUAUCUCUGAGAGGAUUAGCUUCCAAUACCUCUUGGUGGUCAGUAAUUUACAGCCCAGGUUAGCUGAUCUGAUCACUUGGCAAAGAGCAAGCCCUGGGGGCAUGGAGCCCAGAGCAGAUGGAGUUUGAAUGGCUGGGGGAAGGGACAGAGCUGGGGUUGGCCACCAGAGAAGCUCCACCGCAGGGGUCAGAGUGUGGGCCACACGUGGCUACAUCGGAAGCUGCAAUAGUAUCUUGCCAUUGAGGUCCAUU